AUUGAACGCUGGCGGCAGGCCUAACACAUGCAAGUCGAACGAGUGGCGGACGGGUGAGUAAUGUCUGGGAAACUGCCUGAUGGAGGGGGAUAACUACUGGAAACGGUAGCUAAUACCGCAUCCCAUCGGAUGUGCCCAGAGGGGAUUCGCUAGUAGGUGGGGUAACGGCUCACCGAGGCGACGAGCCCUCGCUGGGCUGAGAGGAUUACAAGCCACACUGGAACUGAGACACGGUCCAGACUCCUACGGUAGGCAGCAGUGGGGAAUAUGGCACCAUGGGCGCAAGCCUGAUGCAGCCAUGCCGCGUGUAUGAAGAAGGCCUUCGGGUUGUAAAGGACUUGCAGCGGGGAGGCGUUACCCGCAGAAGAAGCACCGGCUAACUCCGUGCCAGCAGCCGCGGUAAUAC
rnacentral:rRNA from 1 species